rnacentral:rRNA from 1 species
CCUACGGGCUGCACCAGUGGGGAAUAUUGCACAAUGGGCGCAAGCCUGAUGCAGCCAUGCCGCGUGUAUGAAGAAGGCCUUCGGGUUGUAAAGUACUUUCAGCGGGGAGGAAGGCGGUAAGGUUAAUAACCUUGUCGAUUGACGUUACCCGCAGAAGAGGCACCGGCUAACUCCGUGCCAGCAGCCGCGGUAAUACGGAGGGUGCAGGCGUUAAUCGGAAUUACUGGGCGUAAAGCGCACGCAGGCGGUUGAUUAAGUUAGAUGUGAAAUCCCCGGGCUUAACCUGGGAAUGGCAUCUAAGACUGGUCAGCUAGAGUCUUGUAGAGGGGGGUAGAAUUCCAUGUGUAGCGGUGAAAUGCGUAGAGAUGUGGAGGAAUACCGGUGGCGAAGGCAGCCCCCUGGACAAAGACUGACGCUCAGGUGCGAAAGCGUGGGGAGCAAACAGGAUUAGAUACCCUAGUAGUC